rnacentral:rRNA from 1 species
AUGGCUUCCUCUUUGCUCCACUGCUCCGACAAGCUCCCGUUCAUGGACGUGGAGACCAUCCUCCACAUGAAAGAAGGCCUCGACGAGAGCAGCUACGCGCAGAACUCCUCGCUCCAGAAGAGGGGCAUGGACACCCUUAAGAGCCUCAUCGUCAACUCGGCGACGGACGUGUACAUCUCCCAGAUGCCGGAGAGGUUCACAGUGGCCGACCUCGGGUGCUCCUCGGGCCCCAACGCGCUCUGCCUGGUGGAGGACAUCAUCGGGGGCGUCGGCAAGGUCUGCUGCCGGUCGUCGCAGCCGCCGCCCGAGUUCUCGGUGCUCCUCAACGACCUCCCCACCAACGACUUCAACACCAUCUUCUUCAGCCUGCCGGAGUUCACCCACAGGCUCAAGUCCGCCGCCAAGUCCGACGAGUGGGGCCGGCCGAUGGUGUUCCUGUCCGGCGUGCCCGGGUCCUUCUACGGGAGGCUGUUCCCGAGGACCAGCGUGCACUUCAUCUGCUCCUGCUCCAGCCUGCACUGGCUCUCCCAGGUCCCGCCGGGCCUCUUCGACGAGGCCAAGGCACCGAUCAACAAGGGCAAAAUGUACAUAUCGAGCACGAGCCCGCCCGCCGUGUCCGUGGCCUACCGGAGGCAGUUCCAGAGGGACUUCAGCCUGUUCCUCAAGUCGCGCGCCGCCGAGGUCUUCCCCGGCGGGCGGAUGGUGCUGGCCAUGCUCGGCAGGCAGAGCGACGAGUGCGUGGACAGGAGGACGACCUUCCUGUGGGAGCUCCUCUCGGAGUCCUUCGCGGCGCUCGUGUCGCAGGGGCUGGUGGAGCAGGACAAGGUGGACGCGUACAACGUGCCGUUCUACGCGCCGUCGCUGCAGGAGAUGGAGGUGGAGGUGCGGCUGGAGGGGUCCUUCAGCCUCGACUACGUGCAGACGUACGAGAUCAACCUGAGCAGCAGCGGCGACGCCAAGGAGGACGGCAGGACGGUGUCCAUGGCGAUCAGGGCCAUCCAGGAGUCCAUGCUCAGCCACCACUUCGGCCCGGACAUCGUCGACGCGCUCUUCCACAAGUACACGCAGCUGGUCACCGAGUCCAUGGAGAGGGAAGAGGUCAAGAGUGUCCAGAUAGGGGUAGUCCUCACCAGGUUGUGA